rnacentral:sRNA from 1 species
CUUCGUCUCGGUGAGCUAAAAAGGUAAAGGGACGACACUCGCCAUCGGGGGGGGCCUCAAUUCACAGUUCAUUUUCAACAAUUUAUACCCUUUGUCUACCGGUUUCUGGCGAGAAGUAGGUCACAAAAUGAUCUAAUGACUUCUUCUUAUACUUUAUAUAAGUAUACAUGCCGUUUUAACCACCCAGUGACCCGAAACGUCCUCGAUACCAUUCCAUUUCAUCGAAAGCAACGGAAGUUUGCAUCGAGCAACGCGACGCCUAGCGGCGGCUCUCCAUAUAAAGUCAGAGAUGUUUCGAAUGCAUACGGUAAGUCCAGAGAAAUCGUAAGAACCCGCGAAAAUAGAUAGCGACCAGGAAAAAUGUGUAAACAUUGCGGAAAAUGAUAACAAUAUCUUGAUAACAGGCCAAGCUGGAACAGGAAAGACAUUUACAGUAAAAACAUUGUCACAUGGUCACCAUCUGUACCAAGAUGGGUAUCUCUAACCAUGAGGAAUACUCCCUGGUUCGCGAGAUGAUGGACGACGAGAAAGAGGAGACGCUGACUCUCCGCCGAGACAAGUCCAUCGCCAAGGACCAGAAGAAACUCGACGAGAUGAGAAAGAAACUCCACACGGACGACGAACUGGAGUGGUUGGACCAUUCACGGACCCUGAGAAAACAGGGGGUGUUGGACGUGGACACACUACUGCUGAGGAGGAAGUUCUUUUUCUCCGACCAAAACGUUGACCAGCGUGAUCCAGUACAACUCAACCUGCUAUACGUACAGAACUUUGCCCCACAGGCAUUGGCACUCCAGGAGAGUCGGGACGCCUCUUUCCUUGGAAGGGGACAAUGUGGUAGAGUCAGCCCGGCCUGUCAGGAACAGCUUAUAGACGCCGCAAAAGGUGUGGCUCACUCUGUGAAGGGAAUCGUGGAGGCAGCCCAGCAGUCCUGCCGCGACGACAAGCUUCUGGCCGACCUAGGCCCCGCAGCCACCGCGGUUACUCAGGCUCUUAACGACCUGCUACAGCACAUCAAGAAGGGGGCAGGGUCGACAGCGGCGACCUCUUCAUUGGUUGGGGCCAUCAGGGGAGAAGCCGAGGGCCACUCUGACUCGGACAUGCAGAAGCGGCUCCUGGCCACCGCCAGACAACUCGCUGAUGCCACCGUGAACAUGGCGGAAGCUGCCAAGGGCUGUGCGUCGAGUCCGAACGACUCGGAGCAGCAGAAGAGACUUCGAGGCGCUGCAGAGGACUUCCGGGCUGCCGCAAAUAUCGCCGCCAGCAACGCCCUCAAAAAGAAACUCAUCAGGAGGCUAGAGAACGCCGCGCGUCGCACCGCCUCAGCCACCACACAGCUGAUUAACGCCUCAAAGAACGCUAACAAAUCCAACACUAACAAAACCUCGGAACAUCAACUGACUCAACAAUGCCAGAUCAUGAAUGAACAGCUGCCUCUGUUGAUCCAAGGAUUCCGGGGAUCUGAGACAAACCAGGACAGCGCUACAGCCCAGCUACAACUGAUUAAUGCUAGCAAGGAAUUUAUACAGACACUAGUUUCACAUCUCGGUUCACUGGCCACAUUUCUUCUGACAGCCUGCCAGUCAGCUUGUAUCCGCCGCAAACGCCGCAGCCCCAACGGUUGGAGAUCAAGCCGCAAGCAUGAACAUGAGCCAGGCAGUGAAGACGAUGACCACCGCGCUCGCGUAGCUGAGAACCGCCUCAGGGAAGGCAGAGGAGAUGUGCAUCUCACUGGAGGUUGACGCCACACUUGAUCAGAGAUGUGUAUCUCACUGGAGGUUGACGCCGCACUUGAUCAGCUGACCGAACUCGACCGCGAGCUGAAGGAGUACCGCAGAGCCGCCGACAGCGGUAACCUUGUGCCACUACCCGGUGAAACGGUGGAGGCGUCGGCCAUGAAACUUGGCUCCACCUCUAAGGACGUGGGAUCGGCGAUGGCUCAGCUACUGACGGCUGCCUCACAGGGCAAUGAGAAUUACGUGGGUGUAGCAGCCAGGGACACCGCGAACGCCCUCCGCGUGCUGACAGAAGCCACGCGCAGUGUCGCCUCAACCUCAGAAGACAUCGAGGUCAGACGGCAAGUGAUCGACAGCGCCCGUGACGUCAUCGACAAGUGGACGCAUCUACUGGAGGAGACGAAGCGAGCCAUGAACGACCCAGAAAACCCUGAGAACCAGGCUCGACUUAACCAGGUGGCCAAGGCUGUGUCGAGUGCACUCAACAACUGUGUGAAUGCCCUGCCUGGACAGAGAGACGUGGAUAACGCCAUCAGACAGAUCACAGACUCGAGCCAGGAGCUGGCGUCCACCAAGUACCCGAGCACAGACCGCACGUUCCAGGAGAUCCAGAUCGAG